UACGUAGGGUGCGAGCGUUGUCCGGAAUUAUUGGGCGUAAAGGGCUCGUAGGCGGUCUGUUGCGUCGGGAGUGAAAACUCAGGGCUUAACCCUGAGCCUGCUUCCGAUACGGGCAGACUAGAGGUAUGCAGGGGAGAACGGAAUUCCUGGUGUAGCGGUGAAAUGCGCAGAUAUCAGGAGGAACACCGGUGGCGAAGGCGGUUCUCUGGGCAUUACCUGACGCUGAGGAGCGGAAGUGUGGGGAGCGAACAGG
rnacentral:rRNA from 1 species